rnacentral:tRNA from 1 species
GGCUUGCUGGUCUAGUGGUAUGAUGCUCGCUUUGGGUGCGAGAGGUCACGGGUUCGAUUCCCGUGCAAGCCC